rnacentral:lncRNA from 1 species
AAAAACACCCCCGCAGUUCGACCAUUCAAAAUCUGUCACUGUGUACCGGUACACGGGCCCGUGUACCGGUACACAUCCCACGAAAACGCCAAACCCGAGCCUCGGGUUGGCUAGGAAGCUGCCUGUGUACCGAUACACGAGUCCGUACCGGUACAACCAUCAACCCCGUACCAGUACAGCCAUCAACCCUGUACCAGUACGCAGCCUGCUGAAGGCUACCCGAGAACUGACCAAAAAAUCGAUUUUUCGGGUUUUGGUGCAAAGCUUCAAACCUCAAUUCUCGGGGUACAAACUAUAGGUCGGAACACUGUCAACGACCCUCCAGAAUAACUGGAAAAAGCUCGAAUCACAGAUCAAACACUCGAACCCCGCAAUUUGCAAAAGUCCAGUGUGUUACAGCCUAAUACAUCGACACUAGAAUCGUUCCCCAUGUAUACUCUUCUGCUCCCAACAGGCAUACGACGGUACUUGACGAAUCGCAUCUGAUCUCUCGCUACGUAGUCUUUUGCUCCUGAGUCUACAAUCCACACAGGGA